rnacentral:siRNA from 1 species
UAUAAAGUUCUGGGUCAUCAAU